rnacentral:rRNA from 1 species
AUGGUGCGAUCUAUGAUGUCUCUUACUGAUCUAUCGCUAUCGUUUUGGGGUUAUGCUUUAGAGACGGCUGCAUUCACGUUAAAUAGGGCACCAUCUAAAUACGUUGAGACGAUGCCUUAUGAACUAUGGUUUGGCAAGAAACCAAAGUUGUCGUUUCUUAAAGUUUGGGGCUGCGAUGCUUAUGUGAAAAAGCUUCAACCUGAUAAGCUCGAACCCAAAUCGGAGAAAUGUGUCUUCAUAGGAUACCCAAAGGAGACUGUUGGGUACACCUUCUAUCACAGAUCCGAAGGCAAGACAUUCGUUGCUAAGAAUGGAUCCUUUCUAGAAAAGGAGUUUCUCUCGAAAUAA